rnacentral:rRNA from 1 species
CCNUGGUAGUCCACGCCGUAAACGAUGAGUGCUAGGUGUUAGGCCCUUUCCGGGGCUUAGUGCCGGAGCUAACGCAAUAAGCACUCCGCCUGGGGAGUACGACCGCAAGGUUGAAACUCAAAGGAAUUGACGGGGGCCCGCACAAGCGGUGGAGCAUGUGGUUUAAUUCGAAGCAACGCGAAGAACCUUACCAGGUCUUGACAUCCCGAUGCUAUUCUUAGAGAUAGGAAGUUACUUCGGUACAUCGGAGACAGGUGGUGCAUGGUUGUCGUCAGCUCGUGUCGUGAGAUGUUGGGUUAAGUCCCGCAACGAGCGCAACCCUUAUUGUUAGUUGCCAUCAUUAAGUUGGGCACUCUANCGAGACUGCCGGUNNNAAACCGGAGGAAGGUGGGGAUGACGUCAAAUCAUCAUGCCCCUUAUGACCUGGGCUACACACGUGCUACAAUGGUCGGUACAACGAGUUGCGAGCCGGUGACGGCAAGCUAAUCUCUGAAAGCCGAUCUCAGUUCGGAUUGGAGGCUGCAACUCGCCUCCAUGAAGUCGGAAUCGCUAGUAAUCGCGGAUCAGCACGCCGCGGUGAAUACGUUCCCGGGCCUUGUACACNCCGCCCGUCACACCACGAGAGUUUGUAACACCCGAAGUCGGUGAGGUANCCUUUUAGGG